rnacentral:rRNA from 1 species
UACGGAGGAUCCGAGCGUUAUCCGGAUUUAUUGGGUUUAAAGGGUGCGCAGGCGGGAGAUUAAGUCGGCGGUGAAAUUUUGCAGCCCAACUGUAAAAGUGCCUUCGAAACUGGUUUCCUUGAGUGUAGAUGAAGUAGGCGGAAUUUGUGGUGUAGCGGUGAAAUGCAUAGAUAUCACGAGGAACUCCGAUUGCGCAGGCAGCUUACUAAACUACUACUGACGCUCAGGCACGAAGGCGUGGGGAUCAAACAGGAUUAGAUACCCGGGUAGUCCCUGA